CAGGAAGUCCAGGGAAGGGGACCCAGGAAGUGACAUCACCUCCGCGAGAUGACAGGGCACACAUGACCUCGGAACCCUGGUCCCCAGGCAGUUGGUUCUGAACCAAACCUGACCCAGCUCACUUGCCUGGUGGGCCUGGACCCGGCCCCACGUUUUCUUGCUGUUUGCCCAGGUCUCCCCGCAGUGGACCCAAAAAAGGUCCACGAAACUCGUGUCACACUCUGCCGAAAGGCAUGAGGAGCCUGUGCGUACGCCUCGGGCCAGCACCAGCACUGCCCCUGAGGAGGUCUUUUGUGUCCAGGAAGGUGAAGAGAUCCAGAGAGUGCAAUUCCCCGACUGUCCUCCCACAGCCCAGUGUGGGAUCUGUCCCAGCACAGAGCCCAGGUUGAAGUGCACCUGCAACUUUGAGAUUGGGGCACAUGUCCAAAGGAACUGGCUGCAGUACCCGAAAUCCCUGGAGGAGCCGUCCGAGGGUAUCACCGUCGAGGGACUGGAGAGAAGAGUUCUGGGGAGAAAAGACGGAAACCUCACACAUAGCAGGCUCCGGAGUCUCCUCUCCUCUGAGCCCUGCUGCUCUGACUCCUCACAGAGCAUCUCAUCCCAGAACGCCGCCCUCCAGAACCCCCAACUCUGCCCACCUCAGC